ACCGGAUAAGCCCUUACGGGGAAAGAUUUAUCGCCGAAAGAUCGGCCCGCGUCUGAUUAGCUAGUUGGUGAGGUAAUGGCUCACCAAGGCGACGAUCAGUAGCUGGUCUGAGAGGAUGAUCAGCCACAUUGGGACUGAGACACGGCCCAAACUCCUACGGGAGGCAGCAGUGGGGAAUAUUGGACAAUGGGCGCAAGCCUGAUCCAGCCAUGCCGCGUGAGUGAUGAAGGCCCUAGGGUUGUAAAGCUCUUUUGUGCGGGAAGAUAAUGACGGUACCGCAAGAAUAAGCCCCGGCUAACUUCGUGCCAGCAGCCGCGGUAAUACGAAGGGGGCUAGCGUUGCUCGGAAUCACUGGGCGUAAAGGGUGCGUAGGCGGGUCUUUAAGUCAGGGGUGAAAUCCUGGAGCUCAACUCCAGAACUGCCUUUGAUACUGAAGAUCUUGAGUUCGGGAGAGGUGAGUGGAACUGCGAGUGUAGAGGUGAAAUUCGUAGAUAUUCGCAAGAACACCAGUGGCGAAGGCGGCUCACUGGCCCGAUACUGACGCUGAGGCACGAAAGCGUGGGGAGCAAACAGGAUUAGAUACCCUGGUAGUCCACGCCGUAACGAUGAAUGCCAGCCGUUAGUGGGUUUACUCACUAGUGGCGCAGCUAACGCUUUAAGCAUUCCGCCUGGGGAGUACGGUCGCAAGAUUAAAACUCA
rnacentral:rRNA from 1 species